GAUGAACGCUGGCGGCGUGCCUAAUACAUGCAAGUCGAGCGAACGGACGAGAAGCUUGCUUCUCUGAUGUUAGCGGCGGACGGGUGAGUAACACGUGGAUAACCUACCUAUAAGACUGGGAUAACUUCGGGAAACCGGAGCUAAUACCGGAUAAUAUUUUGAACCGCAUGGUUCAAAAGUAAAAGACGGUCUUGCUGUCACUUAUAGAUGGAUCCGCGCUGCAUUAGCUAGUUGGUAAGGUAACGGCUUACCAAGGCAACGAUGCAUAGCCGACCUGAGAGGGUGAUCGGCCACACUGGAACUGAGACACGGUCCAGACUCCUACGGGAGGCAGCAGUAGGGAAUCUUCCGCAAUGGGCGAAAGCCUGACGGAGCAACGCCGCGUGAGUGAUGAAGGUCUUCGGAUCGUAAAACUCUGUUAUUAGGGAAGAAUAUAUGUGUAAGUAACUGUGCACAUCUUGACGGUACCUAAUCAGAAAGCCACGGCUAACUACGUGCCAGCAGCCGCGGUAAUACGUAGGUGGCAAGCGUUAUCCGGAAUUAUUGGGCGUAAAGCGCGCGUAGGCGGUUUUUUAAGUCUGAUGUGAAAGCCCACGGCUCAACCGUGGAGGGUCAUUGGAAACUGGAAAACUUGAGUGCAGAAGAGGAAAGUGGAAUUCCAUGUGUAGCGGUGAAAUGCGCAGAGAUAUGGAGGAACACCAGUGGCGAAGGCAACUUUCUGGUCUGUAACUGACGCUGAUGUGCGAAAGCGUGGGGAUCAAACAGGAUUAGAUACCCUGGUAGUCCACGCCGUAAACGAUGAGUGCUAAGUGUUAGGGGGUUUCCGCCCCUUAGUGCUGCAGCUAACGCAUUAAGCACUCCGCCUGGGGAGUACGACCGCAAGGUUGAAACUCAAAGGAAUUGACGGGGACCCGCACAAGCGGUGGAGCAUGUGGUUUAAUUCGAAGCAACGCGAAGAACCUUACCAAAUCUUGACAUCCUUUGACAACUCUAGAGAUAGAGCCUUCCCCUUCGGGGGACAAAGUGACAGGUGGUGCAUGGUUGUCGUCAGCUCGUGUCGUGAGAUGUUGGGUUAAGUCCCGCAACGAGCGCAACCCUUAAGCUUAGUUGCCAUCAUUAAGUUGGGCACUCUAAGUUGACUGCCGGUGACAAACCGGAGGAAGGUGGGGAUGACGUCAAAUCAUCAUGCCCCUUAUGAUUUGGGCUACACACGUGCUACAAUGGACAAUACAAAGGGCAGCGAAACCGCGAGGUCAAGCAAAUCCCAUAAAGUUGUUCUCAGUUCGGAUUGUAGUCUGCAACUCGACUACAUGAAGCUGGAAUCGCUAGUAAUCGUAGAUCAGCAUGCUACGGUGAAUACGUUCCCGGGUCU
rnacentral:rRNA from 1 species